GACGAACGCUGGCGGCGUGCUUAACACAUGCAAGUCGAACGAAGAGCGAUGGAAGCUUGCUUCUAUCACUCUUAGUGGCGAACGGGUGAGUAACGCGUAAUCAACCUGCCCUUCAGAGGGGGACAACAGUUGGAAACGACUACUAAUACCGCAUACGAUCUAAUCUCGGCAUCGAGGAUAGAUGAAAGGUGGCCUCUACAUGUAAGCUAUCACUGAAGGAGGGGAUUGCGUCUGAUUAGCUAGUUGGAGGGGUAACGGCCCACCAAGGCGAUGAUCAGUAGCCGGUCUGAGAGGAUGAACGGCCACAUUGGGACUGAGACACGGCCCAGACUCCUACGGGAGGCAGCAGUGGGGAAUCUUCCGCAAUGGACGAAAGUCUGACGGAGCAACGCCGCGUGAGUGAUGACGGCCUUCGGGUUGUAAAGCUCUGUUAAUCGGGACGAAAGGCCUUCUUGCGAAUAGUGAGAAGGAUUGACGGUACCGGAAUAGAAAGCCACGGCUAACUACGUG
rnacentral:rRNA from 1 species